AACGAACGCUGGCGGCAGGCCUAACACAUGCAAGUCGAGUGAGACCUUCGGGUCUAGCGGCGGACGGGUGAGUAACGCGUGGGAACGUGCCCUUUUCUGCGGAAUAGCUUCGGGAAACUGAGAGUAAUACCGCAUACGCCCUUUUGGGGAAAGAUUUAUCGGAGAAGGAUCGGCCCGCGUUGGAUUAGGUAGUUGGUGGGGUAAUGGCCUACCAAGCCGACGAUCCAUAGCUGGUUUGAGAGGAUGAUCAGCCACGCUGGGACUGAGACACGGACCAGACUCCUACGGGAGGCAGCAGUGGGGAAUCUUAGACAAUGGGGGCAACCCUGAUCUAGCCAUGCCGCGUGAGUGAUGAAGGCCUUAGGGUUGUAAAGCUCUUUCAGCGGUGAAGAUAAUGACGGUAACCGGAGAAGAAGCCCCGGCUAACUUCGUGCCAGCAGCCGCGGUAAAAC
rnacentral:rRNA from 1 species